UACAGAGGGUGCGAGCGUUGUCCGGAAUCACUGGGCGUAAAGGGCGCGUAGGUGGCGACCCAAGUCGAUGGUGAAAGCUCGCCGCUCAACGGCGAGUCGGCCACCGAUACUGGGUUGCUGGAGCACUGUAGAGGCUCAUGGAAUUCCGGGUGUAGCGGUGGAAUGCGGUAGAGAUCCGGAAGAACACCGGUGGCGAAGGCGGUGAGCUGGGCAGUUGCUGACACUGAGGCGCGGACAGCGUGGGGAGCAAACAGG
rnacentral:rRNA from 1 species